CUGCGCUGCUGGAGGUUCGAGGACCUACCAGAGCCCAGGGUUCACCAAAUGAGAUGUGAUGUUGGCCAGCAGUGGGGAUUUGCCAGCAGACUCCUUUGAAGUGCUCAGGAACCAGAAUCAUCUCCUUCCCUGGAUGCAGCCCUUCCUGUGUUCUUCAAAGAAGAGAUGCAAAUUAAAAUCCUAUGGAACAAUACACUCCAAGUCUGUCCUUAUUCACCAGCUGGAGAAGAUCCACAUUCCCAUGUUUUGACACACAUGGAUUUGUUUGUCACUGGAGUCAGAGCUGUGUGGUUUUAGGCUCAAUAAACCUAUCAACAAACCAUUUGUGAACCUAAACACACCAGGUGAGCCAGCAGGGUUAUACUGGGAUAGGAACCUUGAGCAUCCCAUUGUCCUGUGGGUUUGAUGAGGUGGCUGAGGGGCAUAGAACACAAGCCUGCCCUAUGCCCAGGUGGGAUUUGCCUUCCUGGAGGGCUGCUGGGAGAAGAGAGAGCAGGCAGCUGAAGCUGGCCUGGAGGUUUGUGUGGGAAAUUGGAGGGAUUUGCUGUGCUUUGGCAGCUGCUGCCAAAGGUUGUGAGGAAUUAAUAGGUAGGGAGGUAUUUCAGUAAACCAGAACUGUAUUUCUAUUAUACUGAAAUACCAGUUAUUCCCAAUUUACCUGCUGAUCUCCCCAGGUGGAAUCACUGUUCCUCUUUCCUCAGACUCAGUUGUGUUCUCUCUGUGUUGGAAACCAAUCUUGGAAUAACUCACCAGAAAACUCGUUGAAUCCCUGUUCACAAGGGAUUCAAUAGUUUGAGUAUUGAGCCUUUUGUGUGUCCAAGUGUCAAUUCCAUAUUGUUUCUUUUUGCUUUCUUUGCAAAAGUACCAGAUAGCAGCCGGAUGCCUCAUGAAAGUGUUACAGCACACCAGCACUGCUGCCUCUUUCCAGAUCUUGUCCCAGUCAGAGCACUGAAGUUACACAAAUCCACAUUGAUUACCACUAAUGGUAUUUUUACAGAGUUCUUGAGUAGCUCACACUUCAGUGGCCUUUUGAAGCCGUGACUGUCCUCGUCCCCUGUCACUUUCUGAAGGAUCUGCCAGCUUGUUUUGUUGCACUGCUCUGGGACUGCUCCAGCCGUCUGUUUCUGGAAAAAGAGCGUUACUACUCCGGGGAAAUUCACUGCCUGAUUCCAUGUGGAACUUCUCUGGUGAUAUUGAGUGCGCCGCCAAGCCCAGAGGUGUAUUGACUCUUGUCCCAGCAAGGAUUGGAGCCUCCAGUGCUGCCCUAGAAUGCUUCCAGCCUAGCAAGAGAGGUGUGGGAUAAUGAGAAAUCAGCCAUCCUGGCUCCAGAGGAGCCGCUUGCUGCAGCUCCUUCCUGCCAGCGUCUGACAGAUGUUUCACAACCUCAGGUCAAUCUGUCAUUGCCUCAGGAAGCGUUUCUGGUCUACUGCCUAAAUCUCCCUCAUGGCAGUUUCAGUCCACUGCUUCACUCCAUGUCUCCUGUGCAUGUAGGGAAGAUUUAUUCUCUUUUUAUAGAAUCUGUAAUGUUGGAAAAAACUGCUGAGAUCAUUGAAGCCGGUAGCUGCAGUUUUGUGUCUGUGUGGUGUGUCACAUGUGGGGAAAUGGCUGUUUCCUCAUUUGCCCCCAAAGCAGAUGCAGCGGAUGCAUCUGGUGUCGGAAUGGAACCUCUGCCACAGGGAGGGGGCUGUGUUGUUUGUGCCCUUGCUUAGACAGGUCCUUGGAAAUUCCGGAGACAGGGAAGAGCUGUGGCUGCAGGGACUGUUGAGACACAGCACAAACACUCCUGGAAUGACCUGGGGACCUGUCUGCCUGACCACCAGCACAUCGUGCAGGAAUGAGGGGACAACAAGACCACCUUGCUCUGUGCCGUCUUUUAAUGCCUUGCCAUUCCCCGGCUGGUGGUAGGAGCAGAUACACGACUGCUGGCAUCCUGUAAUGCUGUGUGAUGCUUACCUCAUCCUCGGGUUGUGUCGGCAGGAGGAGGAGGGGAGCAUGGCAGGAUGAGAGGAUUACUUACAGCCAGCCUCCCUGAGCCCUGCAGCUCAUCUGUGCUGCUU